GGGUCAAAUGAUGAGGAAUAAACUGCAACAAUAUGAUGGAGUUAAUCCCUGUGAUUCCCAAGUAUUUAAGUCUCUGAUGACC